UGCCAUGGGGACCCCACCCAUGGUAGUCGUUACUUUAGUAACUAUGGUGUCAAAGCUAACAUAUUUACUUACUAGAAUCUUCCUUUUUGUCUUCCUAGAUAGCAUCUAGGAUGUCGGUUGAUUGCUAGAUCCGGCUGCUGUCCAUGUGUGGCCGAGAGAUGUGCGAAGGCUGGAACGAUGUGAUUUUGAUCUUGUGCAGGAAUGGUGACUGGGCGAUCUAGACUGUCGUUUGUGUGGUGAUCGAGACCUUGAUGAUGAGCGAGAGCUUUGGCUGCUGUCGUUGUUCCGGUUCCCACGAUUGUGACUCUGUGUUCGAGUACAGCCAGCCCUCUUUUGUAGUGUGUCGGGAAGAACCUGACCUGGAUCUCGAACGACUGAGCAUGGGACGAAUAGCUUCGACAUGGCAGCUACCGAUGCUUGUAUUGCUGACUGGAUCACAGUCUCUAGCGAUGUGCUGUCAAUUUGUGUGGCCAUGGUAGGUGUUUCCAUCGCCAUCGCCGUGAAUUAAGGCAAUAGAAGAGCAGCUGACAUGACAGCAAUCUAAUUGUUUGUGUAGCAUUUACAGUUUCAUAGUUUUUGUACAAAAUGUGUAGAUGGUGAAUUGAGUUGUGUGUGUGGCAGUCUUGUGUUUGUGAUGUUUGAGUGCAAGUGAUCAUAUUGCAAUUUAUCCAUAAAUAUGCUAGGAAGGAGAUCUCUGGCAAAAGUUACACACACAAAGUGUCAAUGAAACAUGUAAAUCUGAUGUCUGAUGAUUGAUACGUUUGGGGUGGUUCUGGUCGUAUUGACAGAAACUGGUUGUGACGUGAUUGUCGAUGCGUAAUGAUGUUUGACUGCAAGUAUCAUUUCCUGUUAUCAGAGUAGAUUCUGGCUUUGAGAACGUAUAUGGGUAAAGGUCAAACCAUGGAUUCUACAUAGACGUAUGUCACUGACUGCAUGGCAAUUAAAGCUUUUCAAUAUUUAGUCUCGUUUCUAUUUGACUGUUUUGCUGUAAUUUCAAGUCUAGAACAAGCAAACUCUUGACAAUGUUUGCAAGGCGUGUGAUCAAUCAAUGUUGACUGAUCGAUACAUUCUACAGUUUGAAUUAUGAUGCAUUGUCAAUGAGCAGUGGUUGCCGUAUUUGAUCUGAACAUGGAUCAUGCACAAUGAUUUAAUUGGUAAAUUGAUGUUAUGAAAAUUAGCACCACUUGGCAAGUUUCAUGAUGACUAUACAACUGACAUCAUGCAGUCGACUGAUUUGGGCAAAUUGUUGCAAGCAAAGGCACAAUAGGAACAGAAUUUAGUCAAACUGAAACUUGUGAUGAUGAUAUGGUUCAGCUAGCAAGAUGAGCCACACAUAACAACCAAUAGCUACAAGGCUGAAAACAAUGACGGGCUGACGUUUGAUCAAGGAGUUGUGAUCGAUGUUGUUUAAAGGAACUUGGAUGGCUGGUGGCUUGUUAGGUUUUUUGCAUUUUGUUGUAACGAACUUUGUCCCUUUGAUUGGAACACUAAAAUCAAAUAAGAAAAGAACUAGAAAGAUUAGGUAUUUAAACCAUAUUAUUUGGGACAAUUUAGUAGCCCAUAUAUUUCUUUUGUUUUAAAGAUGGCAACAUUUUGUGCUUAUUGUAGAUGUUAGAAUUUGCAUUGGUAAGUCAAGGUAUACUGUAAGAUGAUAAUCAUCAUGCAGACACUCCAAAUGUGAUUGUUGUCGUUUACUAAACUUUGAAAUGAAAUGAAAUAUAAUCAGAAUGAAAAUGUUGGUCACACUUGCGGACCCAUACAUUGAAAGUGCGACAUCUGAGGAUCUUGUAGAGUGUCACCAAUGGGGACGUACUCUACUAACUGGAAAUGUUUUAUACGACUGAUGUGAGUUGACUUUUCUGGUCAUAUAGUUAUGUGGGAUGUAAUGAAGGUUACAGUAAGAAGAGAAUUGAGAGAAAGUACAACUGAAUGACUCAGCUAUCAGCUGUCGUUCUCCAACUAGUUUUGUGUAUCUCUUCUUCCAAGCCAUAUUGUUGUACUUGUUGUUACUGAUGUGGUGGUGAAAUGGUGAAAUGAAGUGUUAUGAUGGUGUGACUGUCAGAUGGCAGUGUGAGUUCUUGCAAUGGACUGUCUAUGCUGUAACAUAGUGGAUCUAUUACAGUACGAAUCACUGCUGUUGCAAUUUUUAUCUAUCAAAGGUUGUAAAAGUCUUAUUGUUUGAUCAUCUAUACAAAGGUGCUUUUUGGUGUCUAUUUGGUGAGAAAGUAGCCUCGUAUAACAUGACAACACCGGAGACUCCGAGUUGUCGUGUUAUAUGGGAACCGGGCACGACGGCACCAGAGGGUCUUGUACAAGGCUAGUGAGAAAGCAUGUGCAUUGAGUUAAUAAGUUUUGCACACUUUAGCAUAUUUGCAGUGGUGGGUGACAAUGUGAGAGCUCAAUGCAAAUAGGGUGUUGUAGAAAAUGAUGUGCUGAUCAUGAAAAUGACAAUAUGAACUUGUAGGCAGGAAAUGAGAAAGGGGAGGGGCUGGAUAUGAAAACAUAUUGAGGUCAUCAUUUGUAGAUGAUUUUGGAAACAUAGGAUUACAUGGAAAUGCUCUAUUUCAGACUAGACUGUACCCACCCCGGAUGUGAGGUUGUGUGAGGAGAAGUAUAUAAGAGCAAGCUCACCAGCUCACUUCAUCAGUAUCGAGGAUAUCGGUCAUCAUCAUGUUUUCAUUUUUUUGUGACAGUUCUUGUGCUCAUUCAAGUCAUUGCUACUUGUGGUGGUCAAAGCGUGUCAGAUGAGAGAAAGCAGACAUGUGUGCCUGCUGGCGUUCCAGGAGUACCUGGAUCACCUGGGUUGCAUGGAUCACCCGGACGAGAGGGGAUAAAAGGAGAAAAAGGAUUGAACGGAGAGAGAGGAUUAGUUGGAGAUGUCGGCAGUAAAGGUAAUGCUGGGAAGAUAGGUCCACAAGGUCCACAAGGUCCACGAGGGAUAAAAGGAGACACAGGAAGGAAAGGAGAGAAAGGAGAAGCUAUGACACUCAACUGGAAACAGUGUGUGUGGAAUAGAAAUGAUAAUAAGGACAGCGGUCUGAUUCAGAACUGUAAUUUUAGGAAACAUGACAGCAAUUCAGCUCUACAUGUUGCAUAUGCAGGAAAUCUCAGGGUUCUGUGCUCCAGUGGCUCUUGCUGUUCUCGAUGGUAUUUUACAUUCAAUGGCAACGAGUGCAGUGGACCUAUGACUAUUGAGGGAGUUGUGUAUGGUGAUCCAGCUAAUGAUAAUCCUCACCGUCACAGACAGAUUGAGGGAUACUGUGAGAACAUUCCAGCAGGUCAAGUCACAAUUGGAUUCAACAUUGGAAACUGUAACAAAUUAACAUCAACAACGUAUAAUGGCUAUACAGGAUGGAAAUCAGUAUCUCGCAUUAUGAUUGCAGAAGUUCCUCCAUCACAAAAGUGACUGAAUUAGAGAGAAAUUAGAACUUGUGUUCAGUAUAGUUUGCAGUACGUACAGUACGAGGUAGUUGAAGUAGGAGGCUGGAUGGUGUGUGUGCAUGUCUCUCUUUGCCGUAUGUGAGUGUAUGUAUGAUUAAUUCAACAUGUAGCUGCAACUAACAAUCGA